GAUGAACGCUGGCGGCGUGCUUAACACAUGCAAGUCGAACGGAAAGGCUCCUGCUUGCAGGGGUACUCGAGUGGCGAACGGGUGAGUAACACGUGGGUGAUCUGCCCUGCACUUCGGGAUAAGCCUGGGAAACUGGGUCUAAUACCGGAUAGGACGAUGGUUUGGAUGCCAUUGUGGACAGUUUUUCGGUGUGGGAUGAGCUCGCGGCCUAUCAGCUUGUUGGUGGGGUAAUGGCCUACCAAGGCGUCGACGGGUAGCCGGCCUGAGAGGGUGUACGGCCACAUUGGGACUGAGAUACGGCCCAGACUCCUACGGGAGGCAGCAGUGGGGAAUAUUGCACAAUGGGCGCAAGCCUGAUGCAGCGACGCCGCGUGGGGGAUGACGGCCUUCGGGUUGUAAACUCCUUUCGCUAGGGACGAAGCGCAAGUGACGGUACCUGGAGAAGAAGCACCGGCUAACUACGUG
rnacentral:rRNA from 1 species